GCACCAGUGGUGUAGUGGUAUCAUGCAAGAUUCCCAUUCUUGCGACCUGGGUUCAAUUCCCAGCUGGUGCA
rnacentral:tRNA from 1 species